GGCACUAUAGCUCAGUGGUUAGAGCACCUAACAUGUAAUCAGGAGGUCUGGGGUUCGACUCCCCAUGGCGCCA